UUAAGCCCAUCCAAACAUGGUCGUAAGCCAUUACUUCCUCGGUGCUCCAAGCAACGGUACUACGACUGAGCAACGCCUCUUUCAGUGCCGGAUUUGAGGAAUCGAGUUGAAGCCACCUCAAUCACGCCAAGCUCCAGUGAAACAAUCAGCUAAGCACCCUUCAUCAUAGAUCUGCCAUGGAAAUAGCUCAAAGAGCUUGGAUAGAUUUCAUCCAAGACACCUAUAAGUCUCACAGGCGCCAUGAAAUCGAUUCCAAAGAAGACUUCUUCGGAUCUUUGUUUAAUUUCCAUUCAUUUCUAUUAUAAGAUUGAGCUUCAAAUAAGCUAAUACCACUGUUAGAAGAAGAACGGUAACCAACUCCUCUUUUUCCAAAGAUUCACAACGCCAAUCCUCAACUGGCUUGUAACUUGUUCUUCACUUUCUUGAUGAGAUCAGAGAAAUGAGACUUCCUCUUCCAUGUAUGACCAAUAAGACAUUCUAGGUAAGUGAAAGGAAAUUUUCCUUUGUUGAAACCUGUGACUUCCUCAAUCCCUAAUUAAUUUGUCUGGCAGUUUUAUGAAAAACACAGAAGCUUUUCUCCUUAUUGAGUUUUUGUCCAGAUUGUGUUUCAUAUUCCCCCAAAGUCUGCAUAAUCAUUUGUAGAGUUGCCUUAUCUGAAGAGGAAAAGAUGAUUGUAUCAUUAGCAUAGGCUAGAUGAUUCAGAUCAGAACUCCAUUUAGGCAUACCAUAACCUUUAAAAUUCUCAAUAAGGAAUGAAGCAUUCAGGGCUUUAGAUAAAACUUCUGCAGUAAGAAUGAACAAAGCUGGAGAUAGAGGUCCCUUGUUGAGAUUUUAAGCAAAUAAAGGAACACACAUAUAACACCAUUAUUCAUCCGUUCUAAUUUAUAUGAGGUAACUUGAUGGGUAGAAAGUUCAAGAAAUAUGACAAAAUUUUGCAAAUUUUCAAACUUUUAUUAAAAAUAAAAAAGAAUACAAAUUAUGAUUUUUUUGACAAAUAAUUGAGAUCUGAGUGAACGUUUGCAUAAAAGUGUAGAUCAUUGAUGAGGUAACUCUUCGAGCAGGACGCGAUAAAGUCCUUUUGGAGAUGAUGAUGUGCUCUGAGGAUCAUCGAAAAUUUUUAGCUGGAUGUAAAACAUUAUGGUUCUAAAUAAUGUGGUUGUAGAUGAUCCAUAACCAUCCGAACUAAUUCAACAACAACCCAAUCCAUAUGAAAAUAAAGAACCUAAACUAGAACCAAAAUCAGUACCAAAUGAACCAAAUAACUUUUCUAUUCCGUAUUUGCCUAUUUUCUUCGUAUUUAGUAUCACACUAAUAAGAUAUAGUACCACAAUUUCAUCACUUUUGCGAAAAGCGUGAUCCACACAUUUAACCUUUCUCUGGAUAGUCUCAUAAUUAAUAUAUGUGAAAGAUUUAUGAUAAUAAUCGUAUGUGAGUAGGAGAUGAUUUCAAAUAAAAGUUUAUGUGAGAUUAUAUCCUUAUAAGUUGAUUUAAUUUUUUAAAAAAAUUUGUUCGUUCUUCUGUCUUAAUUCUUUAGACAAAUAUAUUGAGAGCUGGAGGCAAUUCAUAAGUCAUCAUAUCGCCAUGAAAAUUUGUUUGAUAGGAUUUAUAUAGGAACAAAUCACAAUAUUCGAUUGAACAAUUUUCUGAUCUUUGAUGAUAUGUGUUGAAUUCAAAAAUAUAUUAAUAACUUUUAUUUUGAUAAGUUAUUUCAAAAUAUCAACCAUUUGAAAUGUU